rnacentral:rRNA from 1 species
UACGGGGGGGGCAAGCGUUGUCCGGAUUUAUUGGGCGUAAAGAGCGUGUAGGCGGCCAGGGAGGUCCGUUGUGAAAACUCGAGGCUCAACCUCGAGACGCCGAUGGAAACCCCCUGGCUAGAGUCCGGAAGAGGAGAGUGGAAUUCCUGGUGUAGCGGUGAAAUGCGCAGAUAUCAGGAAGAACACCCGUGGCUAAGGCGGCUCUCUAGUACGGUACUGACGCUGAGACGCGAAAGCGUGGGGAGCGAACAGG